rnacentral:lncRNA from 1 species
AAUAUGCAAAUUUCAUGUUAUUUUCUUUAAUAUGUAUUAUAUUGUUUUUUAUUUCUUAUUAUAUCUCGAGGGCUUAAAACCAGAACUGUCUAUGUCCAUUUUUUGUGAAAUUGAGUUAAGUCCACCAAAGUACUGUAUAUUCAUUUCAGUUUGUGUGCCAGAACUGUCUAUUCCCAUGUAUGUCCAUUAGCCAUUUUACUUUUCAUGUCCAGACUGUUUCAAGUACUUUCAUGCAUUCAUUAAGAAUUGCGCAGUACUUGCAGUUUUCUACUAAUUAAGCAGAUUAGAUUCCCUAUGCAGCUUCCACUGAUUGUGGCCAAGCAACACCAUAUCAUUGCCCGGAAAAAACGUAAUGAUGAAUAAAAAAGACCAAUGUGCAACAUGUACGAAGUAUGACCAGUUGUCGGGAGAACAGAAGGAGAAUUUCAUGGAAACCCAUCUCGUGCGAAAAACAAAGGCUUAAGGUUCCAAAGCAGUACCCUUGCAUCGUGUAGGACAGGAAAUCAUUGUGAAUAAGAUGGAGCGCAAAAGAGGACAAGCUUACAACAAGAAAUAUGCUGAUGACUUUGACUUGACUUUGACUUCAUUGUAUCAUCAGGAAAGAGCAAACAUCAUGCAACUUGCAAGGUAUGUCGCCAAGAUUUGUCAAUUUUGCAUGGCGGUUGUAAUGACAUUGUUGUUCAUUGCAAAUCAAAGCAACACAUCACUGCUUUCCAGUCUGAAUCGUCGGCAUGAAAAAUAACAUCAUGGAUGUCAACCUCCAAGGAUUUUAAUAUAACUAGAGCUGAGUGCUUAUUUACAUCAUUUUAUUUGGAGCACAAUAUUCCUCUGUCAGCUGCAAGUCACAUGGGACCAUUGUUGAGGAAAACCUUUCCUAAUUCUGAGGAGGUUAAGAAGUUUUCCAGUGCAAGGACCAAACUUGUUGUCUUGUGCGUGAAAUGGCAAAAGAUGAACAAGGACAGAUCGUUUCAGACAUGAGAGCACGGCCAUUUGCAAUAUCAACUGAUGGGAGUAAUGUCAGCGACAGUAACUAUACCCAAUUGUCAUCAACUACCAUGAUGGUAAGCAAAUUUCUUGUACUCUGCUUUCCCUCCCAACCUUAGAAAUGGCAGGAACUGGUGGAAAUAUUGCACAAUUGCUCAUAACAGAGCUGCAGAAUCAUGAUAUCUCAUGGGACAAUUGCACAUCAUUGGGAUAAGACAAUGCAUCAGGCAUGACUGGUGUACACAAGGGAAUUGGGGCAUGCCUCAGAAAGUGUCAGCCAAACCUCAUUGUGCUUGGUUGCCCCAAUCAACUAAUUGAUCUUGCUGCCAAAGCUGUGUCAUCUGCAUUACCAUAUUCAAUUGACUCGCUCCUCAUUGAUGUGUUCUACUAUCUGGAAGCCAGCGUGAACAGGAAAUUGAAUCUCAAGAAGUUCCAGAUGCUAAUUGGGAACGAAGCUAGUGCAGGCAAUUCUGAAACAUGCUUGUACGAGAUGGCUGAGCUUGGGCCAAUGCUUGCCAAGAUUUAUCUAGCAAAGUGUCAGCCCAGCAGUAGAAGCCUACUCAACAGACCAAGCACAAGACGCCUACUGAACAGACACAGCAGAAGAAGCCUACUCAACAGACCAAGGCAACCAAGAAUAGUGUCCAGACUGCACUUGUUCCAAAGAAGCCAACUCCAGCUGUGAAAAAUAAACCUGCUCAGGGAUCUCAACUACAGGAAAAGCCUCCUCACCAAACCAAGAUGACUGCACAACUCCAAGCAUUCCGCAUUCCCAAGAAGGUGUCUGCAGAUCCACCACAUGUGAGCAAACCUGCCCAGUCUCAGACCCAAGUUCAACUUCAAGCACCACAGCCACAACACAGUAGACCAUCUUCAAGCUGUACUACUCGGGGAAAAACGACAAGUGAGGGACACUUCGGAUACACCUAGCAAGAAGCAGAAGACUGGGAAACUUGUCGGCAAGGCAACAGGCUCAACAGUGCUCAAGGCUGGAACUUCCAGUCAUCCCAGUACGAUUUCUAGUAAAAUGACUGGAAAUGAAAAAAACAAGAUGUGGAGAAAAGAAGAAAACAAGACAGACAGUAAAGGAUGAAACAAGACAGGAAAGAAUUCUGAAGUCAUUGCACUCAAACCCAAUAUUAGCCAUUGCACAUUUUCUCAGCCACAGCAUCAUUGCGUCUGACAAGAAAAGUGUCAUCUUCCAGAUGAGAAGUCCUCUGAUACACAAGCUGAAAGGAAUACAAGAAAGUCUACUGCGUGACUUGUACAGCCAAUUGUAGCUCCACAAGCAAUCAUUGCAGCCACAGACUUGACCCUUCUGGACUACAAGAACAAGGAGAAUCUUCGUGAAGAAUCUGAAAUGGUCAUAGGAAGCGCAACAAGAGAAAUUGUGAACACUUUAGAUGAGUCUGAUUGCCAUAAGUUUUAUGCAGCAGUGCGUUCAUAUUACACCAAGGCAUGUGACUACAUUGUAAGUAAGUUUCCAUUCAAGUCUGAUGUUCUCAUCCAUGUGCAAGUGGCUGACAUUGCAUGUCAGAAGGAUGCCAAAUUAACUUCUCUAAAUUCUUCAUCAACAAGUUCCCCUGCAUGCUGCUUCAGGAAGAAGAAGACAAGCACAGUGCCCUAGAUGCUCUGGAGAACCAGUUUCUUAUCUAUCAACUUGCUCAGCUUCCGUACUUAGUGCAAAAUGAGGAAUCUACUGACAAGCAGUGGACAAGUAUGAUGACAGAGAAGAAUGCUUCUGGUGAACUGUGCUAUGACAGACUUGCAAGAGUAAUGCUUGGGAUUCUAACCAUACCCCAUACCAAUGCUGAAUGUGAAAGGGUCUUCAGUCAGGUGCGAAAGAACAAAACUGACUUCAGAGGGUCCAUGAGCAACAAAACUCUAGAAAGUGUCCUUAUUACUAAGGCUCGCCAAACAACACCCUGCUACAUGAGGGAAUGUGACUCUGAUUUUCCGAAGAGAGCAAAAUCUGCAACAUACAGAGCUCUAAAUGAGUAGUAUGGGAGUGUCAGGGAAGGCAGGUAAACCUGUGUUUUUCUCAGAACUCAUUUUUCUAAUUACUCAACUACCCAUUUUAAAAGGUUGAAUUUUAUGGGAAAUGGUCCCUAAAAUAGGCUCAGAUUGCACCAGAGAGCAUCUAGUACCCCGGCUAAAGAGACUUCGUGCUCGUGAUGUUCGCUAUGCGCACAUGAUAUUCAGUUUUACUUUAAAUGUUACUAAUUGAAAAUUCCAAAUGUUGGCAGCUAUGCCAGGCCAAGGUAGUUGCUGGAAAGAGGACUUUUGUCUCGGCUUCCUUUGAUUUGCAAAGUGAAUGUGGCUGCAACGUUACUCUAUGCCAUCCAGAACACACAUCUCAAAGUCAUCGCACACAAUUUUCUGGAGAGUGGGCAUUCCCACAUGGAAUGCAAUAGCAUGCAUUCUGCUAUUGAAACAGAAAAAAAGAACAUCAAUGUCUUCACAAUGCAUGACUGGGUAAAAAAUCUUCCACAAAUUAAGACGUCGGCUUCCAUACAAGGUCAUAAACAUGUGCCAUGGAGACUUUUAUGAUUUGAAAAAACUCUCACAGCAGAUCAUGAAUAACAAACGCCCAGACGAAGAUGGACACGUCUUCAACUGGCUACAUGUAAAGAGCUUCCAAUACAGGAAGGAAGAGCAAGGCACCAUCUGCUACCAUCUAUAGCUACUUGGAUGACUACGAGAAGAUAGAUCAUCAGUUCCACGUAAUCUGGACCUUGUCUACCAAGAGAAGCAUUAAAAAAAAAA